rnacentral:rRNA from 1 species
UACGUAGGGGCCUAGCGUUGUCCGGAAUCAUUGGGCGUAAAGAGCGUGUAGGCGGUCCGGUAAGUCCGCUGUAAAAGUCAAAGGCUCAACCUUUGAAUGUCAGUGGAUACUGCCGGGCUAGAGUCCGGAAGAGGCGAGUGGAACUCCUGGUGUAGCGGUGGAAUGCGCAGAUAUCAGGAAGAACACCAACGGCGAAGGCAGCUCGCUGGGACGGUACUGACGCUGAGACGCGAAAGCGUGGGGAGCGAACAGG